AGAUUGAAAGUGGUUUUGAUGCCAUCUUGGAUUGUGGCUCAAUUGUUGCAAUUGGAACUGACGCAAGGCCGAAGUGAG
rnacentral:pre_miRNA from 1 species